AGAGCCAAUCCAGGGGAGCUCAGGUGUGUGCAAUGAACCUCAGUGAUGGAAGGGCUGGAGCCAGGAUCCACCCUUUCCAGACCUCAUUUACGGGUUGGUAGUGGAGGUGAGGGUAUUUCUUGUUGGAUAUCCUUGCCUAUUUGAGGUCUUCUAAAGAUAAAAUCAUAGAAUAUCCUGAACUGGAAGGCACCCAUAGGUGUCUAUGAUUGUAGAGAGGAAUCGUGGAAUGGCUCAGCACGGAAAAGAUCUCAGUACAAAAGAAAAUCACCGAACAACGGAAGGUAAUGGAGGCUCAGGCUGGUGACUGAAUACACACAGCAAUGGACUGUGGGGUUUCUGACCAGGGGGACACAGCAGCAGAGCCUGUGACACCUACCUGCUGCAGUACCAGUGAGCACACUCAGGCUAUGGCCUGCAGAGCCUGUCCUCCUGGAUCAAGAGGUGUCUUAGGGGACUUAAAAGAGUGGUUCAAAUCAACAGAAUGUCCUGGAUCCUAAGACAAAUUAUGGCUAAAUGCAAACAUGCAUUGAAUGGGUGCUUUACCAAAACCCUGCUGCUGCUUCCGAGCUGUAACAAUGAAUGUGAAUUUCAAGCCCUCGUGGAAAAUUCAGCAGUACUAUUCUGGCUCUGGAAUAUUCCCAGCUUCUGAGUUGCCUGAAUGCAAUCAGCAGUGUGAAAAGCCUUAAGUCACAGACUAAAAAUAACAAAAGAAAUGAAUGAAUGAGUACUGGAAUGAACCUGCCCAGCUUGAACACGUUCAGUUCCCACUGACAGGAGAAAUAUUAUCAGUGAAUGCCCAUGAUCCACACUAAGUGUUGAAAUUAAACUAUUAGUUUUAGUAAAGCAUUGCUAUCAAUUCAUUUCACUUCUGCAUUUUUAAACACUUGUAAAUGUAACUUGUCCAUGGAGUUUAUCAAAAGAAAAAAA